rnacentral:snRNA from 1 species
GGCUUUCCGAAAAGUUAUCAC